UGAAAUGACAUACAACAAUCUACUCGUCACGGGCAGUGGGCCCGACGAAAAUGUAUCGCCUGAGAAGAAGUUACUAGUUACACUGUGUUACUUGGCUAAUACACAAUCGAUGCGAGAGGUAGCCCACACAUUCAACCUAUCAAUGUCAACAGUUAACGCAAUAAUUCGCCACACAGUUGAUGCAAGUGUGCAGCAUGGAGGCCAGUUGAUUCGCUGCAGAAACAGGUUGAUAUUGUGGAUGUGUGGAGGAGAAAUGCCAACUCCCAGGUGUAGUUGGGUUUUUAGACGGUUGCCACAUAACCACUAUCUUCAGCUUUAAAAGGAGACAGAGAUUAUUACAUUCGUAAAGGCUUUCCAUCAAUGCAUCUGCAGGCUGUUGUGGACCAUGACAUGAAUUUCACCAAUGUGUACACAGGAUGGCCAGGAUGUGUGCAUGAUGCACGUGUCUUAA